AAGGGCAUCUUGUUUGUACGCGAAUGAGUUCGUAUGUGGUUUGUUUAUUUUAUUUUUGUUUGUUUUCUGUGAAACCUUGUCAACGUGGACGAGACACCUUUUACGUGCAACGUCUUCUCGUGAUUCGCCGAUUCGUCACAUGUUCACGGUCGAGUACUGUUUUAUACACAAUCAACAAUCAAUGAUUUUCACUGAUUAUGAGGGAAUAGAGAAAUUGUGUGGCACAUAAUGCAUAUUUAUAUCUAUCUUGUAAACACGACCAAGUCACCGUGUGUCCAAAGUUUUCCUGUUGAUAUCCGCUGAUUCGUCAAAAUGUGAAGUCGUGAUUUGUGUGGCACAUUUUGACUUUUGUCCCUCCCCGAAGUGUGUUUUUAAAAUAAAUGUUUAUUCCACAUGAUGCGAUUUUUUUUUAAGCAUUUCCACGAUUAACGUGAAUUCAUGGGGAAAUAGUGCAUGUUUAUGGCUUUGUAAUACACACAAUUGUUGAUUUCUGAUGGUGCAUUACUCUCCUUUGGAAUUCUUGUCAUCAGACUUCAAAAUGUCUUCAAAAAUCGUCAGCGGUGCUUCAGCCAAUCAGAACUCACCUGGAUCAACAGAGGCCGGUGUCGAAAUUUCCUCAGAACUUUGGAGACUUUUCUUCUCACUGCGCCACUCAGUGGGCCUUUUGUGCGUUCCGAGUCGUACGGGAGCGCUCGUCGCGAUUGCGCCGUCUUCCUUCUGGUGACGCUUUUUCCGCCCGCCGUCACGGAUGGCGCGGCACAGUAAGCUGCAGAAGCAGGUCUUGGCGCUCUACCGGCAGUUCCUGCGGGCCGGACGGGACAAACCGGGCUUCCUGCCCCGCAUCCGAGACGAGUUCCGCCAGAACGCCGGCGGCAUCAAGAAGACGGAUGUGAUGCACAUCGAGUAUUUGUACCGGCGAGCUCAGCGGCAGCUGGAGCAGCUCAAGGACGUCAACACCAAGCAGCUGGGAACUUUUGCCAAAAACCCGGAGCGCAGCUGACCGGGACAAACGCUGUCCGACUGACCGCCCGUCGGGUCUCGGGUCGAGCUGUUAAUCUUUCGCGUGAUGAUGACUGUACAAAGGCCCAUUAGAAUUGUGUUGUUUUUUUUUUUCAUUUUAAAUACAUUAAUAUGGUAACGCUGCAUCUACGUUUGUGAUGCAAAGAAAUAAAACAAAACAUGCUAAAAGUGUAACCGCAACAUGGAAACGCACGUGUCAGCAUGCAAAUACCGUACGUAUAUGGAAAUAUACGUGGGAAACGUAUACUAUGGAAAUACAAAUAAUUGUAAAGUGUAAAAAACAUUCCCACUCAGUAACAUUUUAAGCAUCAUUUUCCAAGCUAUAAUCCACAGCUCUUUUUUUUUUUUCCAUCUCCUCGGCAUUAUUUUUUGAAAUAUUCAGUGAAUGCUUUAUUCAUUGGGCGGCACGGUGGGGAAGUGGUGGGGCAUCAGCCUCACCGGGAUUCAAAUCCCGGCCUUACCUGCGUGGAGUUUGCGUGUUCUCCCCAUGCCUGUGUGGCUUUUCUCACUGGAAAUGGAAUGGAUGCCUUGUGAAUUUCCCGUGCUGGCCCGGUCGGUGCAUAAGGCACCGCAAAUGAUAAGUCGUUCAAAUAUGAUACAUCUUUCCAAACUUGAAGCUGCGCUCCAUUUUGUAUGAAUUUAGGGGCGAGGGUGUCGGCCAUCGGCAGGGAUACGUCAGUGCGUCCGCCAUAUUGAAUGUGGCAGUUCAGCCUGUAAACAAACGUGUGGUCCUGCCCCGCCCUCGGAAGGACCCAACUGCACACCCCAAACGCGCUCAGGUUGCCCGAAGGUUCCGGAAUGGAGAGAGAGCGCUUGGGGUGAAUUUACGAACAUACUUUUUGGUUAAAAAAAAAAAAAAAAAAAAAAGCUCUAGAAUCACAUAGGAAGGGCGUAACGUGCAUUGGUUACGACGGUUGUACAUCUCAUAGCUUGAAGCGUUGACGUUUACCCACCGUCGUGGUAGUGUCACGGUGGAGCCGCUUGGCGGCAGCAGCGGCGUAGAACUUAGCGACUGACCACCGAGAAGAAGAACAAGAAGGCGGAAAAGGAGAAAAGUAAAACAAGAAGAAUUGAUCGUCGUCAUUCAAGUUGUUGGGUUUUGAUUCUUUUUUUUUUUUUUUAAGACAAAAGUGGCUUUUUAGCUUCGUCUUUCCUUGCCACUCUGGUAUUGAACAUGACGACGGGUGAAGGGAAAAUGAGUAACAUGGAUUUAUUUCAGCAGGUGGCGCUGCUGAGGUGGUUGAGCUCGGACAGCCCGGAGGACCGCGGCCUACUGACCGCGGUGACCCGCGUCCGCGUCGCCGGCCAGCUGCUGGGUCGCCUCACGGGACAGCGACAGGUGGACGCCUACAAGACGGAGUGCAUCCUGAGCGUGGCGCAGUUUGUGCGCGCCAACCCCCGGGCGACGCCGGCGCAGCUCAACGCUCACGUGGAAAAAAGUGUGGCGCUCUUCGCCGCGCGCGUGAAAGCUCUGGACGCCGCAGCGCUUUUCUGAAUGUUUUUGGGUUUUUUUUCCAUUUUGCGGGGUGUUUGAAGGCGCGUCAUCACUUGGCUAUGAAAUUUUUGGAAAAAGACGAUCAAUAAUUGAAUUCAGUCAAUUCGUGUGCGGCUCUGGCAAUGCGGCCGCAUUGCAGCUCAGCUUACCUUUUGGCUUUGACAGUCGGUCACGCCCGCCCACACCCGGACGUCCUUUUAUAGGCGUCGCUUUCCCCUUGUGUACUUACAUCCUGCGGCCACCGUGCAGCGCUCUCCACCUGGCACGACAAUUUACGAUGACAACACAAAAUCAAAACAAGUCAAGGAUGUCAUUCAUUUGUCUUUUAAGGUGUGAUGUCAUUUUUAGUAUGUUAGUGUGUUAUAUGUCUUCAUAUAUGAUUGUUUUCGUAUUAUUCAUCACGUCAUAUUGUCCUGCAUACCCAGAAGUUGAAGUUGGAAUAUUGUGUAAAAAUAAAUGAAAACAUGAUUUGCAAAUGCUUUUCAAACUAAAUUCAGUUGUAUAAACUACAAAGACAAGAUAGUAGGUGUUCAAACUGAUAUGUUUUGUUGUUGUUUUCAAAUAUUUUCAUAAAUAAGGACUAACUCAUCCAUCAGUAAGGGGCAACCGUUCCAUAUUUUUUUGGACACGAUAACAAGACAAAGAUCAUAACAUCUGUCAAUUCUUUCCAUUUUGAAACAAUUUUUGCACAUCUCCACACGAUAAAAAUAAAGUAUUUCAGCAAAGAUGUAAAAGAAAAACUGCCGAACAUUUUUUUUGUU